GCGGAGGGAUCAUUACUGAGUGAGGGCUCACGCCCGACCUCCAACCCUUUGUGAACACAGCUUGUUGCUUCGGGGGCGACCCUGCCGGCACUACGUCGCCGGGCGCCCCCGAAGGUCUCCAAACACUGCAUCUUUGCGUCGGAGUUUAAAACAAAUUAAACAAAACUUUCAACAACGGAUCUCUUGGUUCUGGCAUCGAUGAAGAACGCAGCGAAAUGCGAUAAGUAAUGUGAAUUGCAGAAUUCAGUGAAUCAUCGAAUCUUUGAACGCACAUUGCGCCCUUUGGUAUUCCGAAGGGCAUGCCUGUUCGAGCGUCAUUUCACCACUCAAGCCUGGCUUGGUAUUGGGCGUCGCGGCUCCGCGCGCCUUAAAGUCUCCGGCUGAGCCAUUCGUCUCUAAGCGUUGUGGAUUUUCUAAUUCGCUUCGGAGUGCGGGUGGCCGCGGCCGUUAAAUCUUUAUUCAAAGGUUGACCUCGGAUCAGGUAGGGAUACCCGCUG
rnacentral:rRNA from 1 species